rnacentral:lncRNA from 1 species
UUUUUUAUUAUUUUCUGAUAGAAUAGGCAUCAGUUAAGUUUGAGAACCGAAACAAUAUGGUUAUAUUACCUCGGUUAUAUUUUGAACCGGGGCAGUAUAGGCUGUUAUGAGCACAAAGUCUUCAAAAGUUUUGCAUUUCUCUUCUGGCACAAACUCUCGCUUGUCAUUGUUGUUCUUCAACUCCUGCGUGUUUCGUGUUAUUAAUUCUCAGGUUAUAUUAAAAGGUGAGGUUACUAUUUAAUUAUAGUUAAAAUGGAUUUGGGGUUUCUUUAGAUCCAGGGGUUGAUUAUGUUUAGGGUUUUGUUAUUAAUUUUUUUUUCCUAAACUCAAAUCCUCUUCUCUUUCUGAUUCUAAUUAAGGGUUCAGCUUUUUUUUGUCCUUUUUGAGGGUCAGGUUCCUCCUCUUUCCCUUGAAUGCGCUAGCUAGAGGCUGAAGCUUCUUCCCUUUCUUUUCUUGCUUUCUCGUGAGCACGAGCAGCGAGAGUGCUGUGAUGGAGGUGAGUGACCAGCAAAGAUGCGGAGAGAAGCGAUGAGGUCGCAUCCGACAACAGUAGCGCUUCCGCGAAGGUUCAAACUCUGACUUCUUCGAUGGCGACGACUGCGUAGGACGUUGGCUGUUCUGAUUCACGGCGCAAGUUUCCUUCUCCUCCUUCUUCCUUUGUUUUCGUUUGAGUUUUAGGGGUUUCCUGGUUCAUAUAAGAACACGGAUUGGGUGCGAAUGGGAUUGCGAUGACAGACGAAGGUGGCAGUGGCGCAUUUUAGAUUCUUCAUGAUGAUGAAAUAGAGAGAGUGAAUAGUAUAGAAUUAGAUUCAUAUGUGUUGUGAAUUAAGCACUCCCAAUACCCACAUUUAUACUCACACCAACUCCUUCAUUAUUACCUAUUCUGUUGUUCUAAUAUUUAUUCAUCAUAUCAACUAUUUUUUGUGGUCAAUAAAUAUCUAUCGACUUCGAAGAAGACUUGUGUAUUUUCAUUUUAAAUAACAAUAAUAUAUGAAAAAAAAAUAAACAUCAAACUCGUCCUUACAAAUAAUUAAUGAAUUGGAAGUUAAUAUUUGAAAACAAAAUUAAGAAAGUGCUCGGAAAAUACACUUCAAAAUGCAAUUCUGUCCAAC